AUGAGCAGGGUCAUGGUGGAGUCACCGCUGUUGCUGCUCUUGCUGGUGUCGCUAGUGGCGACGGCGGCGGCCACCAGCAACACAUCGGAAAGCUGGCAGAGGAAGAGGAGCGAGGAGGAGACCCGGCAGAUCUUCACGGAGUGGAAGGCCAUGCACGGCACGACCAACAGCUCCCUCGCCGAGGAGGAGCAGCGCGCGUACACCAUGUUCAAGCACAGGCUCGGCCUCAUCGACCGGCGGUGGCAUGACGCAGGCUACUCCGUCUUCUCCUGGGAGAGGGGGAGGAGCGAGGAGGAAACGCGCGAGAUCUUCGCGGAGUGGAAGGCACGAAAACCCGUUACUACCUACAGCUCCAUCGCCCACGAAGAGCACCGGUACACCAUAUUCAAGGAGGCCCUGCGCUAA
rnacentral:rRNA from 1 species